UACGUAGGGGGCAAGCGUUGUCCGGAAUCAUUGGGCGUAAAGAGCGUGUAGGCGGCCCGAUAAGUCCGCUGUGAAAGUCCAGGGCUCAACCCUGGAAUGCCGGUGGAUACUGUCGGGCUCGAGUCCGGAAGAGGUGAGUGGAAUUCCUGGUGUAGCGGUGAAAUGCGCAGAUAUCAGGAAGAACACCCGUGGCGAAGGCGGCUCUCUGGGACGUGACUGACGCUGAGACGCGAAAGCGUGGGGAGCAAACAGG
rnacentral:rRNA from 1 species